ACAGAAGGGAGCUUGCUCCCGGAUGUUAGCGGCGGACGGGUGAGUAACACGUGGGUAACCUGCCUGUAAGACUGGGAUAACUCCGGGAAACCGGAGCUAAUACCGGAUAGUUCCUUGAACCGCAUGGUUCAAGGAUGAAAGACGGUUUCGGCUGUCACUUACAGAUGGACCCGCGGCGCAUUAGCUAGUUGGUGGGGUAAUGGCUCACCAAGGCGACGAUGCGUAGCCGACCUGAGAGGGUGAUCGGCCACACUGGGACUGAGACACGGCCCAGACUCCUACGGGAGGCAGCAGUAGGGAAUCUUCCGCAAUGGACGAAAGUCUGACGGAGCAACGCCGCGUGAGUGAUGAAGGUUUUCGGAUCGUAAAGCUCUGUUGUUAGGGAAGAACAAGUGCGAGAGUAACUGCUCGCACC
rnacentral:rRNA from 2 species